CUUUUAUGAAAACCGUUAAGAAAAUUUUAUGAAAAUCAAAAAUUGACUUUCCUUAAGUAGCAUGCAGAUAAAAAAAAGGUUUCCUUAGAAAAGGUCCUACACUUUAACACUUGAUACAUCAGAGCAAGAUUUCUGGUAGAAAACUUUGCACAAAAAAUCGAGGGGUGUUUUGUAAUUAAAAUAAUCUGAGCGAACGAUGGCUUGGGUCUCUAGAAACACUCGAAAUGCAUUUGUUUUUUUUUCUAGUUUAGGUAAAAGGAAAAAAAAUGCAAAAUAUUUUUAUUUUUUUUUUGAAAGACGGGUUCGAACUUGCAAACCAUAGGAUGAAACAGAUAUGUAUAAAUUAAUGGUUGUUCAUCUACGAGAAACAUAUUUAAGGGAAAACAAUAUUUAGUUAUAACAUAACAUAACAUAAAAUGUCCGCAUAAUAUUAGAAAUUCAAUAAGCUAUAAUUUCGAAACUUAGUCUGCUCAAUUCUGACUUCACCAUCGUUCUUAAAUCGGUAAUAUAC